UUAAAGUCUAACCUGCCCACUGAAUUUUUAAAUGGCCGCAGUAUUCUAACUGUGCAAAGGUAGCAUAAUCAUUAGUCUUUUAAUUGAAGGCUGGAAUGAAUGGUUGGACGAAAUAUUAACUGUUUCAUUUAAAUUUUUUAUAGAAUUUUAUUUUUUAGUCAAAAAGCUAAAAUAAAUUUAAAAGACGAGAAGACCCUAUAAAUCUUUAUAUUUUAUUUAUUUUAAUUAAAAAGAUUAAUUUUAUUAUAAUAAAAAAAAAUAUUUUAUUGGGGUGAUAUUAAAAUUUAAUAAACUUUUAAUUUUUAAAAACAUUAAUUUAUGAAUAUUUGAUCCAUUAAUAAUGAUUAAAAAAUUAAGUUACUUUAGGGAUAACAGCGUAAUUUUUUUGGAGAGUUCAUAUCGAUAAAAAAGAUUGCGACCUCGAUGUUGGAUUAAGAUAUAAUUUUGGGUGUAGCCGUUCAAAUUUUAAGUCUGUUCGACUUUUAAAUUCUUACAUGAUCUGAGUUCAAACCGGCGUAAGCCAGGUUGGUUUCUAUCUUUAAUAAAUUAUAAUAUUUUAGUACGAAAGGACCAAAUAUUAAAAUAAUUUUAUUUUAAAUAAAGAAUAUAAUUAAUAUAA
rnacentral:rRNA from 1 species